AUUAAUAAUAAUAUCCCUUUUUCUAUACGCGUAUACAUUUUUUUAAAAUAAUGAACCACUUCACGUGAACUGAAAAACAUUAACGUAAAACAUUAUACUUGUUUUAACAUUUUGAAAUGUACACAAUCUCAUAAUAUUGUGAACACAUACUCUUAAGUCCGUUGUUUGCUAUAUUGUAAAUCACACGCAUUUCAAAUUCCGGAUAUCCUGGUCCCCGCACAAUUUAAUAUUGUGAAUCAUAUAGUAUAGAACCGAAUCUACAUUAUAAUAAAUAAUAAAACUUUUGCCACUAUAAACAUUGCAUUAUUUAUGAAUCUCUUGUGAUAAAUACUUUAUUAUUAAUUUAACAAGAGCUGUGUUUAAUUUUCGUGAACGGCCAUAAAUUCCGUGGAAUAUUGCAAUAAAAUUGCAAUGAUUGUGUAUUUUUUUUUUAAAAUUAAAUCCAAAAACCUAGACUGGGUUGUGUUUUCUCCGAUUCCUGUAUUCAAAC